UACGGAGGGGGCUAGCGUUGUUCGGAAUUACUGGGCGUAAAGCGCGCGUAGGCGGAUCUGCAAGUCGGGGGUGAAAUCCCGAGGCUCAACCUCGGAACUGCCUUCGAUACUGCGGGUCUCGAGUCCGGGAGAGGUGAGUGGAGUUCCUAGUGUAGAGGUGAAAUUCGUAGAUAUUAGGAAGAACACCGGUGGCGAAGGCGGCCUGCUGGGCAGUUGCUGACACUGAGGCGCGACAGCGUGGGGAGCAAACAGG
rnacentral:rRNA from 1 species